GCGCCGGGCUCGGCGCAUGCGCCUUCGCCGACCUGCCCGCGCUGCUGCGCCGCUGACUGUACACACCCGUGCCCACUCCCCGGCCAGGUACCAGGCGUCGCCUCCGUGCCCGCGGUCCACUCGCGUCCUCUCGUCGGUAGAGGCCGUCAAGGCCGCGAGGAACGAUCCAGUGUUUAAUAACGCCUAUCUAUUCUAUAAAUGUCACACUUUUCACAUGUACCACCUAUUGGCUUGGUUGUUACAAGUAGGGUUUUAUCGGAGGAUGCAAAAUGCUCAAUAACUACAUAUUGUGUUCAAGUUGUUAAACACUGGACCUUUUCGAUAUAACGCCGACGUUAUCUUGAUUGCAUAAUGAAGUAGAAGCAACACAUUUGUAAAGGGCCUAUUCCCAUUUGCCUCUGCCAAAUGUCCCAAUUGUUCCCAUUGGCCAACGCUAAAGAUUGGGAGUAAAUGAAAAUAGGCCUUACGAAGUCAUAAAAUUGAUCAAAAAGGUUGCCAAAGGGAUAAUUUUGAGAAAAUACAAACAAUGCUGCAUUUUAAUAGGAAUGGUCUGUAGUUUGGUAAAAGAAAGAAGGUAUUGAACUGACAAUAAAAUUAUUAUGGCCCACAAUAAUUAAGGAAACAUUACAUAGCUCUUUAGCCAUCUCAUUACUCAUUAUCACAAUAUACUUGCAAAAACAAACAAGGAAGGAGGCGCAAAUCAGAUUUAUGAAAGUGAAAGCUAUAUGACGGUAUCUUUGGAAAAUUGCUUUACUUAAUUAAAUCUUCAUGUCAGAAAAACAAGAUUUUUUUUGUAAUAAAAGAACUACAUAUUUUCAACCCGUACAGUCGCCAUCACAUAUAUCGGAGCGGCCAAGAUGCUCAAAAGUAUCUAAGCAUGCACUUUAACGUCUUUAUAAUAGACGCUUAGUUCAGAUAUUUGUGAACACCUUGGCUGCUCCGAUAUAACUGAUAAUGACUGUACAAUCUGCGGCCUAUGAAAAGCAGUAAAUUGAAUAUGAAUCGAACUGUAUUUGUUCUGCAAUUUUAAACAAAUACUUUUACUUCAAUAUGCAAUCCGAGGCGUGGACAAUGUGACGUGCGGGGGAAAAGAAGCCGAGUGACUUUGUAUAUAAAGAUCAAUUUACCUUAACGAAUUAACGCACACUCAAUGCCUUAAGUGACGUGUGAAGUGAACAAGUGAGUGAAGGACUACGAGUACGAGUGAUCGUUGUGGUUUAAUUUUAAAUAAUGACUGCGCUGGUUACGGUGAAUCUAGAAUUGGUGAUCUGUGAGAUAUUUUAACAUAUUUCAUAUUUUAUAUUAAUAGCAGGUACAAAAGUCAAUACAUGUAAUAAUUUAGUUUAUCGGGUAAACGGUAACUUUUUGAUGUCAAAAUUAUUGAUAGAAAAAUUGGAUAUCGUACAUAUUGAUAUCCGAAAAAGCGGUAACCUUUGCCUGAGAACACAUAACAUUAUUUCAAUGUGUAAAAGCUGUAUUGUUUUUAGUAGUAGUAGUAGUAAAAUACUUUAUUGUACAAAAAUAAACAUAAAACAUGAAAGAACACACAUCAUUAGUACAAAGGCGAACUUAUCCCUUAUUUUUUUGUUUUUCAUUAUAGUGUUGAUUUUAGUACCAGCAGCUUAAUUGCUUAAAAGGUAUUCAAGUGUGAAAUAAAAUAUUUUUGAAUUAUUCUAACAGCAGCACUUAGUAGGCUACAAAUACAAGUUUCUAGAUUACAUAUUCUAGAUUCACCAGCAACCUCCCUGUAAUAAUAAAUAAUUGCGUUGGUCCAUAUUGUCGGUUCGUCAAUCAAUUUUUGUAUAAGUUUUAUGCGUAGGUGUAGACUGGCGAGCACCGGUCGCCACUCCCGCUCGCACAACGCUGCAGUCGCAUUUACUACUUAACCAGCAUUUCUAUGAAAACUAAAGACUAAUAAAUUAGUUUUCUGAAAAGAAAAGAUUCUUAUUCUUAUUCUUUAAAUAAUCAUUUUUGAUACUAGGUUUUAUUGCUGACUGCACUUCUCUUUCAACAGGCACUUAUCGAGACAAUUCUAUCAAACCAAAACACGAUUUGGUUGCGUUGUUCUGCCACAGAGUUCCUAAGGCCACGUUCUGUGUCCAUCGAACCAGCUCGACGGUACCAUAAUAUCGCAUUGUCAUCCAACUUACAUAUGUACAGUCAGUGUCUUAGGGUUGCCAGAUCGAAAGGCGCUAUUAUCGGAAAAAAAUAUAAAUUUUUCGGGAUUUUGCGACUUAAGUCGGGAAAAAAAAAAACAUUCAAAUUAAAGUAAUGUAUUAAAAACAACGAUAUUUUACAUUAUUGGCACUACGUCCGCGUCAGCUGCUGUGCCCAUAGACGUUUUUAUAUAAAAAUAGUAUAAAUUAUUUGAGAUCUUGAACAAACAAAAAUAAUUCGCGGCGGCGAGCGGCUCCACGCGGGUCGCUCGCUCGCUCGACGACAGUUCGGAACUUGAAAUUAUUGUUUUAUAACGUGAAGCUGUUUUUCGGGACAGUUUUCACUUUAUCGGGAAUCGGGAACACCUGCUAAAAAUCGGGAGAAUCCCGCCAAAUCCCGACCAUCUGGCAACCCUAUCAGUAUCAGAAGUUGCUAAGCGGGCGCGGUGUUCAAAAUAACCUUGACACGCUGUUAUUCUCUUAACAAUAAAGUCGCGUCAAGAUCAUUUUGAACACCACCGCCUAGCAACUUCUGCUGCUGACAUGCGAAGUUUUAUUUCGUCGUCACAUCGCCCAUUUGACUUAAGGGUUUAAAAUGAAGUUACAGAAGGAAAACAAUAGUACAUAUAACUUAGUUAACCAUAAUCAGUUUUAGUUUGUAAUAUUAGCCCCAAUGUGAGUGCACGCGUUGUGCGCCCGGCUGUACGUGCAUAGUGUAUAGAUAUAUUUAACAAGAGAAGGACAGAGCGUAGAGUAAAGCAGCGAUAGAGCGGGCGGGGCCUAACGUCGAUGAAAUAGUGAGGCGUUUUCUUCAUUUAUACAUCAUUUGGCUAUGUAAAUGUAAAUUAACACCAAAUUAUAAGACUAAAAUACAUUAAAAUCAAAAUCACUGGCGCUUCUAACGCUUAAUUUCAAUUUGUAUCAAUUGAUGUAUAUAAAAGUAUGUUUUUUAUGUCUAAUAAAUGCGGAAGGCAUGACCAUGGCUUAUAUCAUACAUAUUUUGUGAUAUGCGUGAUUUUAAAUUUAACGGUCGUAUCUCUGUCAACGAAUACCUAUAUAAUGUGUUCAUAACAUAACGCUAGUUAAUAAUUAAAACAAAUGUGUAAUCGUAGUUUCACUGGGUUUGUUUAUUUGUAUACAUUUUUAUAAAACCCAGCAUGGCUAAGUAUAUUAACAGAUAUUAACCUUUUGAACGACAAUGAUAUCUAAAGUAGUAAGCUAUCAUGUCUAUGUUGUUAGUUUCUAUAUUUGUCAAACUAAGCUUACACACUUUUGUAUCUUCUCAAUUUGCAAUAAAAUAUAUGAAUUUAAGCGUCGUUCAAUUGGUUAUAUAAGAAAAUAUUAUUAUUCAAACUUAAAGGAAUCGCUUUAUUACCUUAAGUCAGACGCGGGCCUCGCCAGGAUUAACAUAGUUAUAUGAUACGCCAGAGUCCUGCGUGUAUAUGCUUAGAAUAGUGCUGCCCUCGCUCCGCGCAAUACUCGCAGGCGCAUGGUUUCCCGAUGCAGCGCGGGGGCUAUUCCGGUCUGCGUCGAUACGUCGCGGGGCUAUUGCGAGGGCGGCGGCGGCGGCGGCGACGCGCUGCACAGAUCGAAACCAGCAAUAAAUUGGGGCGUUUUUAGAAAGAGUUACUUAUUAGGCUUUUCGAAAUGUUAUGUUAUUUAUACUACGAAAUAUUCGUAUAUUUCGUUAGUAAUCGUAAUUUACGUUCUUUAAAAGCUAUUAUACAUAUUAGAGAGAACAGGAAAAUGUUAGUAAUCAAUCUAAUUCUUUAUUCUGCGGGGAUUUCGCAUGCCGAAAUUAUAACUAUAAAAUGUUGCCAAUACAUCAUAAUAAUUAGUUGCCAACAAAUAAAGUAAUUUAGUUCUACUUUUCUAAUUUUGGAAGUAUAGUUGAGAUAUAAUUGCUAGGUUAAAUAUAUUUGCAAUUCAUUGUAGUUAUAGAUUUAUAUCAUCUACUAGUAUGAUAAUGAAUCUUCAUCAUCAUCAUCAUCUCAGCCAUAAGACGUCCAUUGCUGAACAUAGGCCUCCCCCUUGCAUGAUAUGGAUGCAUUGCAGGCAUGAUAAUGAAUGAAUUAAUCAAAAUCUUUCUUUCAGGCAACUAGUGGCCCAUACAUAAAUACAUUAAAACUAGCAUACAUAUUGAAAAAAUAUAUUUUAAAAAUAAAAACUAUACAAAUCACCAUGCAUUGCGUUGCGAUGCAUUACGCAACCCCGCAGUCAACCAAUCAAUCAUCUGCUGGUAUGAUAUUAAAGGAUCAUAAUCUCUCCUACUGGUUAAAACUCACAUGCCCAGCAGACUAGGAAAAAUCGAUUUAUUUUCUCAAGUUAUAAGUAAAAAAAAAACAAACAACAUUUCCAACAUAAAAAAACCUCUCUCUAUAUAUCUCUAAAAACGCCCUCUAGCUUUGUGUGUAAACUUUUGUAAGUAUAACGAAGCUUCAUGUAUAUAUGGGCGUGUUGUAUGUACUGUACGCUUGUCGGGUCGUGUCGUGUCCGUGCCGUGCCGUGCCGUGCGACGCGCCGCCGCCGGGACUGUAAAUGAUCCACAAUAUUGUUCUUAUAUUGUAUUGUUUUCUUUUUUAAUAAUAUAUUGUGUUUAAACGGC